UACGGAGGGGGCUAGCGUUGUUCGGAAUUACUGGGCGUAAAGCGCACGUAGGCGGCUUUGUAAGUUAGAGGUGAAAGCCCGAGGCUCAACCUCGGAACUGCCUUCGAUACUGCGGGUCUCGAGUCCGGGAGAGGUGAGUGGAAUUCCUAGUGUAGAGGUGAAAUUCGUAGAUAUUAGGAAGAACACCAGUGGCGAAGGCGGCUCACUGGCCCGGUACUGACGCUGAGGCGCGAAAGCGUGGGGAGCAAACAGG
rnacentral:rRNA from 1 species